GUAACAUCAGUGCCUCUGUUGAGCACAGUGGUCACUCAAAAGAGGGAGAGUGAGUUCAGCCUAUCAUCUGAGAUCCGAGUAUGAUUGGGGAAAUAUCCUGAAAUAGUCUAUGAUUUGAAGAAAUGGAUAGAUGGCUAGAAUAAUAUGCUAGAUGCUAAGCAACAUGGAAAAAAAUCAAGCCUGCUCAGUCACUUCCAUGAGGACAAAUGAAGACACUUCAAGAUAAUGAUUGAUACACCUCCCAUGCCCCACCUCUCACCCAGGACAGGAUCAAAGUGUUGGGGGAGCCACAACCUGCUUCACCUAGAAAGGUACCAAACGCAGUCAGAUGAUACUUCCUGACAGCAUCCAAGAGCAAGUCUCACCACCACAUCUGUCAAUACAAAAGAAAACGAGGAGCUGCCAAUUUGUCUGUUUAUAGGUGCCAAUAAAAUCCUGCACAGAACUUUAGUCAACAAGACUAUUUCAGAAGGGGUGGCCAACAGUGUGGCCUUUCACUGGCAAGGGCCACCUUUGUCAUCACUUAAGAAAUAAAACC
rnacentral:lncRNA from 1 species